rnacentral:lncRNA from 1 species
GACAAGGAUCUCCAACAAACCAGAAUGGGGAAUGUCUACCCUCAGGGGCUGGCCACAGGCCCCGUAGGUCAGCCAGAUAACAGAAUGUAGAAUGGCCUGACCUGGGAGAAGUGGACUCCAAUAUGACCGACUGCCCGGCCCAGGACCCUGCUCAGGCAGCAGGGCUGGGACCAUCAGGGGGGCAGUUCCCUCUCCCACACCAGGCACUAGGGGGGCUUGUGGGGUGCAAGGAGGCCCACCUGAGUAUGAGUCGUGGCUCCAUCUUCUGUGAGCUGUGAAAUUUCAGCUCACCUCUCUCAGCUCAUUUUCUCAUUGGGAAAAUGAGGCGAAAGCAUCCCCUGUUUGCAAGGUGGCUUUGGUUUGUUUUUAAAACUUUUUACUGUAGAAUAAUCAUAGAUGCAAAGGUAGUACAGACAGUUCCCAUACGCCCUUCACUGGGCUUCCCGUUAUGUUAGCAUCUUACAUUUGUCAAAAUGAAGAAUUGAACAUUAGUACAGUACCAUGAACUUGGCUACGGACUUUAUUUGGGCUUCACCAGUUUUCCCACAAACUCCAGAUUUCUGUUCCAGGAACUGAUCUGGGAGUCCACUUUGCAUUUUCAUCCUGGGUCCUUAGUCUCUUAUCAGUGACAGUUCCUCGGUCUUUUGUGUUUUUCAAGGCCUUGCCAUGUUUGAAGAGUACUGGCCAAGUAUCCUAUAGAAUGUCCCCUGACCUGGGAUUGUGAGUUUUCCUAUGAUUAGACUGAACUGUGGUUUUUUGGUACGAUCCCAUGGAGGCAAGAUGCCUCCAUGCAUCCUAUCAGGGGCUCACGAUAUGCACGUGGCUUAUCACUGGUCAUGCCAACCUUUCUCACUUGGUUCCUCACUGGCACUUGCCAUAUUUCCUCAGUAAAGGCCUUAUUUUUCCUUCCCAUUCUCUAUUCUUUGAAAUAGAGUUACUAAGUCCACACUCAAGAGAGGGGAAUUAAACUCCACCACCUGGAUGGGAGAAUAGCUACAUACACGUUGAGUAUCCCAAAUCUGAAAACCCAAAAUCCUAAGUGCUCCAAAAUUUGAAACGUUUUCAGUGCCAACAUGUUGCUCAAAGGAAAUGCUCACUGAAGCAUUUUGGAUUUCAGGUUUUUGGAUGUGGGAUGCUCAACUGAUAAGUAUAAUGCAAAUAUUCUAAAAUCUGAUAUCCAAAAUCUGAGACAGUGGUGCUGGCUUGUGUGACACAUGGUUCAACAAACCAUGGUUCUUCCCACAGUUUUUCUGCUCUUUCAGGACACUUUCUCCAAGAUGCUUCUCUGAUGGAACCCCUGCUCCCCACAACACCCUUAGAUCACAUCCCCUUGUCAUCUCUUCUUCAUAACAUUUCUUUUUUUUUUUUAAACAGGGUCUCGCUCUGUCACCCAGGCUGGAGUGCAGUUGUGCAAUCUUGGCUCACUGCAACCUCUGCCUCCCAGGUUCAAGUGAGUCUCGUGUCUCAGCCUCCCAAGUAGCUGGGACUACGGGCAUGUGCCACCAUGCCUGGCUAAUUUUUGUAUUUUUGGUAGAGACGGGGUUUUGCCAUGUUGCCCAGGCUGGUCUCGAACUCCUAAGCUCAACCGAUCUGCCCACCUUGGCCUCCCAAAGUGCUGGGAUUACAGGCGUGAACCACCAGAUGACCCUCCCACUCAUCGGUGGGUCUUCCAUCAGAGUGUAACUUCUGCGAGAGCAGGGGCCUAGUUAGGUUUUGUUCCCUGCCACGUUCCCAAACCCUAGCAUGGGCCUGGUGCAGAGUAGGCACUGGAUAAUUAUGGAAUGUAUGGAACCCCUGAAUCGGGGGUGACUCUGACGCUAGAGGAAGCAAGGAAACGCACAGCCCUGCUCGAGUUAUGUGACGAUGCUGCAUUCUUGCUCCACGUCACCUCUCCUCCCCCUCUUCCCUUUCCUGCCUCCUCCUGUUUCCACUCCGGCUGCACCCCCCAGCUCCUGCUGUCUGCCUCAUGGAGACUCUUCUUAAGAAUGCUAAGGCAUGAGGUUAACAGAAAGUCCUGCCAGGAGCCCACGGUCUUAGCAUCAGCUGGUGAUGGCUCUGGUUCCUGUC